AUAGAUACUAGAAACAAAAAGCAACCUGCUCUUUGGUGGGAAAGUUAUGGAGGAGAAGGUAAAGAGUUACAAAAGAUAGCUAUGAGAAUUUUGAGUCUCACAUGUAGUGCUACUGGAUGUGAAAGAAAUUGGAGCAUGUUUGAUCAAAUCCAUACUAAGCGAAGGAAUCGCUUAGAACAACAAAGGUUGAAUGCACUUGUAUUUGUCAAGUAUAACCUUCAACUUGAGAUGAGACAGAAGAUUAGAGAGGAAAAGGGAGAGACAUAUGAUCCCAUUUGUUUAUCAGAUAUUGAAUCUGAUGAUGAGUGGAUCACUGAAAAAGAAAACCCAUGCUUGCCAGUAGAUGGGUCAUGGAUGGACAUACAUGAGAGUUUCACUCUUGAUGAAGGAGCUCCAAGCAAGAAAAGAAAGAGAGGUCCAAGAAAUUUGAAUGCCAAAACCAAUAGCAAAGGGAAAUCUA